AGUGAACGCUGGCGGUAGGCCUAACACAUGCAAGUCGAACGGCAGCACAGUAAGAGCUUGCUCUUACGGGUGGCGAGUGGCGGACGGGUGAGGAAUACAUCGGAAUCUACUUUUUCGUGGGGGAUAACGUAGGGAAACUUACGCUAAUACCGCAUACGACCUACGGGUGAAAGCAGGGGAUCUUCGGACCUUGCGCGAUUGAAUGAGCCGAUGUCGGAUUAGCUAGUUGGCGGGGUAAAGGCCCACCAAGGCGACGAUCCGUAGCUGGUCUGAGAGGAUGAUCAGCCACACUGGAACUGAGACACGGUCCAGACCCCUACGGGAGGCAGCAGUGGGGAAUAUUUGACAAUGGGCGCAAGCCUGAUCCAGCCAUACCGGGUGGGUGAAGAAGGCCUUCGGGUUGUAAAGCCCUUUUGUUGGGAAAGAAAAGCAGCAGGUUAAUACCCCGCUGUUCUGACGGUACCCAAAGAAUAAGCCCCGGCUAACUUCGUG
rnacentral:rRNA from 1 species